rnacentral:rRNA from 1 species
CUUGGGUUGGGUAUAAACCCGGGAAACUGGGUAUAAUACCCGAUAGUUCUCGGCUGCUGGAAUGCAUCGAGGUUUAAAGCUCCGGCGCCUGAGGAUGGGUCUGCGGCCUAUCAGGUAGUAGUGGGUGUAGCGUACCUACUAGCCUACGACGGGUACGGGUUGUGAGAGCAAGAGCCCGGAGAUGGAUUCUGAGACACGAAUCCAGGCCCUACGGGGUGCAGCAGGCGCGAAAACUCUACAAUGCGGGAAACAGCGAUAAGGGAACCCCGAGUGCCACGUUACAAAUCUGGCUGUCCGGAUGCCUAAAUAGCAUUGCAUAGCAAGGGCCGGGCAAGACCGGUGCCAGCCGCCGCGGUAACACCGGCGGCUCGAGUGGUAACCGUUAUUAUUGGGUCUAAAGGGUCUGUAGCCGGCCGGAUAAGUCUCUUGGGAAAUCCAGCAGCUUAACUGUCAGGCUUUCAGGAGAUACUGUCUGGCUCGAGGCCGGGAGAGGUGAGAGGUACUUCAGGGGUAGGGGUGAAAUCUUGUAAUCCUUGAAGGACCACCAGUGGCGAAGGCGUCUCACCAGAACGGACCUGACGGCAAGGGACGAAAGCUAGGGGCACGAACCGGAUUAGAUACCCGGGUAGUCCUAGCCGUAAACGAUACUCGCUAGGUGUCGGCCACGGUGCGACCGUUGUCGGUGCCGUAGGGAAGCCGUGAAGCGAGCCACCUGGGAAGUACGGCCGCAAGGCUGAAACUUAAAGGAAUUGGCGGGGGAGCAC